rnacentral:rRNA from 1 species
GACGAACGCUGGCGGCGUGCUUAACACAUGCAAGUCGAACGGAAAGGCCCUGCUUGCAGGGUGCUCGAGUGGCGAACGGGUGAGUAACACGUGGGUGAUCUGCCCCUUACUUUGGGAUAAGCCUGGGAAACUGGGUCUAAUACUGGAUAGGACCAUGCUGUAGGUGGUGUGGUGGAAAGAUUAGUUUCGGUAAGGGAUGAGCUCGCGGCCUAUCAGCUUGUUGGUAGGGUAAUGGCCUACCAAGGCGUCGACGGGUAGCCGGCCUGAGAGGGUGGACGGCCACAUUGGGACUGAGAUACGGCCCAGACUCCUACGGGAGGCAGCAGUGGGGAAUAUUGCACAAUGGGCGCAAGCCUGAUGCAGCGACGCCGCGUGGGGGAUGACGGCCUUCGGGUUGUAAACUCCUUUCAGCCAUGACGAAGCCCUUGUGGUGACGGUAGUGGUAGAAGAAGCACCGGCUAACUACGUG